rnacentral:rRNA from 1 species
AUUGAACGCUGGCGGCAUGCCUUACACAUGCGAGUCGAACGGUAACGGGCCUUCGGGUGCCGACGAGUGGCGCACGGGUGCGUAAUACAUCGGAACGUGCCCGAUCGUGGGGGAUAACGAGGCGAAAGCUUUGCUAAUACCGCAUACGAUCUACGGAUGAAAGCAGGGGACCGCAAGGCCUUGCGCGGACGGAGCGGCCGAUGGCAGAUUAGGUAGUUGGUGGGAUAAAAGCUUACCAAGCCGACGAUCUGUAGCUGGUCUGAGAGGAUGAUCAGCCACACUGGGACUGAGACACGGCCCAGACUCCUACGGGAGGCAGCAGUGGGGAAUUUUGGACAAUGGGCGCAAGCCUGAUCCAGCCAUGCCGCGUGCAGGAUGAAGGCCUUCGGGUUGUAAACUGCUUUUGUACGGAACGAAAAGCCUUCUUUUAAUACAGGAGGGUCAUGACGGUACCGUAAGAAUAAGCACCGGCUAACUACGUG